rnacentral:rRNA from 1 species
CCUACGGGUGGCAGCAGUGGGGAAUAUUGCACAAUGGGGGAAACCCUGAUGCAGCGACGCCGCGUGAAGGAAGAAGUAUUUCGGUAUGUAAACUUCUAUCAGCAGGGAAGAAAAUGACGGUACCUGACUAAUAAGCCCCGGCUAAUUACGUGCCAGCAGCCGCGGUAAUACGUCGGGGGCAAGAGUUAUCCGGAUUUAUUGGGUGUAAAGGGAGCGUCGGCGGGUUAGCAAGUAUGAAGUGAAAGCCCGGGGCGCAACUCCGGGACUGCUUUUGAAACUGUUGAACUAGAGUGCAGGAGAGGUAAGUGGAAUUCCUAGUGUAGCGGUGAAAUGCGUAGAUAUUAGGAGGAACACCAGUGGCGAAGGCGGCUUACUGGACUGUAAAUGACGCUGAGGCUCGAAAGCGUGGGGAGCAAACAGGAUUAGAUACCCUGGUAGUC